UGACGCUGCACCCCACGGUUUAGGUUCUAGGGGGCGCCAAAGAUAACCCUAAAAUCCACAUAUUUAAAAGUCUUAUAACUUUUUAUUUUUGUCCUCACUGGCCUCCAAGUUUUCUAGGAUGAUGCAAUGUCCAGCCAUCAACACAUUUGUGAAAGAAUUUUUUCUCCCCAAAAGAGCGCCCCCCCCAUGGCAGGAUAAAAAGUUAAGUUUUUCCUGCCCUUCGCCCAAUGGCUCAAACGCAUCGCUCUCUCGGCAAAACCGAAAGGAGGAGCAACUUGCCAUUUGGAUAUAUGGAAGCUGUGUUUGUGCCCUCACUCAUGGUCCAGACUUUUUUCAAAAAGGACAUGGAGUUUGUCUGCAGCGAGCAUUUUGGUAGAAACUGCGCCUCCCAUUCAUUAUAAUGGUAAAUGACCACAGACAAGUGCGCACACCAUCUUUGGACCUUGAGUGUGACGCGAUCGGGAGGGGGAGGCGGUCGCGCUGGGGGCGGCGCGACACGGCUCGGGCCCGCCAGUGCCCCACCGGGGCCCUAGUUUGUUAGGGCCCGUGCGUAGCUGCUAAGCAGCUGCGAGGCCCUAUUAUUCCUGUAGUGGUUUUUCUUUGUUUCUUUUUAGGGCCCGAGCCAGCUGCAGAGCAGCCGGGCGUAGAGCCCUGUUGUUCCUGUAGUGGUUUUUCUUUGUUUCUUUCUUUCUUCUUUUUCCUCCCCUUUGAACUGGAAAAUGGCCCACUUCCCACUGGCGAAAACUCAUAAAAUUUGGCAGGACGACCGGGCCUGGUGAAAAAUUCGAUAUUCUGAAGUCGCCCAAACAAUAAAAUGCAAAAUAGCUCCAUAGCGCCCCCUAAGGUGUAAAUUCACACUAUUGACUGUCACGCCUGUACGCUUUGUCAUAUUGACACAAAAAUUGACACACAUAUGUUUCUCAAUAAGAUCUACAAAAAAGUCAGUGCGGGCGUAUCUGUAAAAUGUACGGUUAAAGGGUUAUUUCGCAUUUUUUCCCGAUCCGCACACAUUGGAAUUUUGCUAACUCCUCCGAAGGCUUUAGUUCCACCGCCACCAAAUUUGCUCAGGCCAAUCUACACCCCAUGGCCAUUAAAAGUUGUACAAAUCAUGACGCUGCACUCCACGGUUUAGGUUCUAGGGGGCGCCAAAGAUAACCCAAAAAUCCACAUUCUUAAUAGUCUUAUAACUUUUUAUUUUUGUCCUCACUGGCCUCCAAGUUUUCUAGGAUGAUGCAAUGUACAGCCAUCAACACAUUUGUAAAGGAAUUUUUACUCCCGAAAAGAACGCCCCCCCAUGGCAGGAGAAAAAAGUCCAUUUUUUCUUGUCCCCUAAGGUGAAAAAACACAUUUUUGACUGUCACGCCUAUACGCUUUGUCAAAAUGACACAAAAUUUGACACACACGUGUAUCUCCAUAAGAUCUACGAAAAAGUCAAUGGGCACGUAUCUGUAAAAUGUACGGUUAAAGGGCUAUUUCGCAUUUUUUGCAGAUUCGCACACAUUGGAAUGUGGCUAACUCCUCCUAAGGCUUUCUUCCCACCGACACCAAAUUUGCUCAAGCCGAUCUACAUCCCAUGGCCAUUCAAAGUUGUAAAAAUCAUGCCGCUGCACCCCAUGGUUUACGUUCUAGGGGGCGCCAAAGAUGACCCAAAUAUCCACAUUCUUAAAAGAAUCCACAUCCCCCCCCCCCCAAGGCAGGAGAAAAAGUCCAGUUAACCCUGCCCAUCGCUCAAUGGCUCAAUCGCAUCGCUCUCCUGGCAACACCGUAAGGAGGAGCAACUUGCCAUUUGGAUAUAUCCUAGCUGUGUUUGUGCCCUCACUCAUGGUCCAGACUUUUUUCAAAUAGGACAUGUAGUUUGUCUGCAGCGACCGUUUUGGUAGAAACUGCGCCUCCCAUUCAUUAUAAUGGGAAAUGACCACAGACAAGUGCGCACACCAUCUUUGGACCUUGAGUGUGAUGCGAUCGGGAGGGGGAGGCGGUCGCGCUGGGGGCGGCGCGACGCGGCUCGGGCCCGACAGUGCCCCACCGGGGCCCUAGUUAUUAUUUUUCCUCCGCUUUAAACUGGAAAAUGGCCCACUUCCCACUGGCGAAAACUCAUGAAAAUUGGCAGGACGACCGGGCCUGGUGAAAAAUUCGAUAUUCUGAAGUCUCCCAAACAAUAAAAUGCAAAAUGGCUCAAUAGCGCCCCCAAAGGUGAAAAUUCACACUAUUGACUGUCACGCCUGUACGCUUUGUCAUAUUGACACAAAAAUUGACACACACAUGUAUCUCAAUAAGAUCUACAAAAAAGUCAGUGCGGGCGUAUCUGUCAAAUGUACGGUUAAAGGGUUAUUUCGCAUUUUUUGCCGUUCCGCACACAUUGGAAUUUCGCUAACUCCUCCGAAGGCUUUUGUUCCACCAGCACUACAUUUGCUCAGGCCAAUCUACACCCCAUGGCCAUUGAAAGUUGUACAAAUCAUGACGCUGCACCCCAUGGUUUACGUUCUAGGGGGCGCCAAAGAUAACCCACAAAUCCACAUUCUUAAAAAUCUUAUAACUUUUUAUUUUUGUCCUCAUUGGCCUCCAAGUUUUCUAGGAUGAUGCAAUGUCCAGCCAUCAACACAUUUGUGAAGGAAUUUUUACUCCCCAAAAGAGCGCCCCCCCAUGGCAGGAGAAAAAAGUCCAUUUUUUCUUGUCCCCUAAGGUGAAAAUACACAUUGUUGACUGUCACGCCUGUACGCUUUGGCAAAAUGACACAAAAAUUGACAAUCAUGUGUAUCUCAAUUAGAUCUACGAAAAAGUCAAUGCGCGCGUAUCUGUCAAAUGUACGGUUAAAGGGUUAUUCCACAUUUUUUGCCGAUCCGCACACAUUGGAAUGUGGCUAACUCCUCCUAAGGCUUUCGUUCCACUGGCACCACAUUUGCUCAGGCCAAUCUACACCCCAUGGCCAUUAAAAGUUAUUCAAAUCAUGACGCUGCACCCCACGGUUUAGGUUCUAGGGGGCGCCAAAGAUAACCCUAAAAUCCACAUAUUUAAAAGUCUUAUAACUUUUUAUUUUUGUCCUCACUGGCCUCCAAGUUUUCUAGGAUGAUGCAAUGUCCAGCCAUCAACACAUUUGUGAAAGAAUUUUUUCUCCCCAAAAGAGCGCCCCCCCAUGGCAGGAUAAAAAGUUAAGUUUUUCCUGCCCUUCGCCCAAUGGCUCAAACGCAUCGCUCUCUCGGCAAAACCGAAAGGAGGAGCAACUUGCCAUUUGGAUAUAUGGAAGCUGUGUUUGUGCCCUCACUCAUGGUCCAGACUUUUUUCAAAAAGGACAUGGAGUUUGUCUGCAGCGAGCAUUUUGGUAGAAACUGCGCCUCCCAUUCAUUAUAAUGGUAAAUGACCACAGACAAGUGCGCACACCAUCUUUGGACCUUGAGUGUGACGCGAUCGGGAGGGGGAGGCGGUCGCGCUGGGGGCGGCGCGACACGGCUCGGGCCCGCCAGUGCCCCACCGGGGCCCUAGUUUGUUAGGGCCCGUGCGUAGCUGCUAAGCAGCUGCGAGGCCCUAUUAUUCCUGUAGUGGUUUUUCUUUGUUUCUUUUUAGGGCCCGAGCCAGCUGCAGAGCAGCCGGGCGUAGAGCCCUGUUGUUCCUGUAGUGGUUUUUCUUUGUUUCUUUCUUUCUUCUUUUUCCUCCCCUUUGAACUGGAAAAUGGCCCACUUCCCACUGGCGAAAACUCAUAAAAUUUGGCAGGACGACCGGGCCUGGUGAAAAAUUCGAUAUUCUGAAGUCGCCCAAACAAUAAAAUGCAAAAUAGCUCCAUAGCGCCCCCUAAGGUGUAAAUUCACACUAUUGACUGUCACGCCUGUACGCUUUGUCAUAUUGACACAAAAAUUGACACACAUAUGUUUCUCAAUAAGAUCUACAAAAAAGUCAGUGCGGGCGUAUCUGUAAAAUGUACGGUUAAAGGGUUAUUUCGCAUUUUUUCCCGAUCCGCACACAUUGGAAUUUUGCUAACUCCUCCGAAGGCUUUAGUUCCACCGCCACCAAAUUUGCUCAGGCCAAUCUACACCCCAUGGCCAUUAAAAGUUGUACAAAUCAUGACGCUGCACUCCACGGUUUAGGUUCUAGGGGGCGCCAAAGAUAACCCAAAAAUCCACAUUCUUAAUAGUCUUAUAACUUUUUAUUUUUGUCCUCACUGGCCUCCAAGUUUUCUAGGAUGAUGCAAUGUACAGCCAUCAACACAUUUGUAAAGGAAUUUUUACUCCCGAAAAGAACGCCCCCCAUGGCAGGAGAAAAAAGUCCAUUUUUUCUUGUCCCCUAAGGUGAAAAAACACAUUUUUGACUGUCACGCCUAUACGCUUUGUCAAAAUGACACAAAAUUUGACACACACGUGUAUCUCCAUAAGAUCUACGAAAAAGUCAAUGGGCACGUAUCUGUAAAAUGUACGGUUAAAGGGCUAUUUCGCAUUUUUUGCAGAUUCGCACACAUUGGAAUGUGGCUAACUCCUCCUAAGGCUUUCUUCCCACCGACACCAAAUUUGCUCAAGCCGAUCUACAUCCCAUGGCCAUUCAAAGUUGUAAAAAUCAUGCCGCUGCACCCCAUGGUUUACGUUCUAGGGGGCGCCAAAGAUGACCCAAAUAUCCACAUUCUUAAAAGAAUCCACAUCCCCCCCCCCAAGGCAGGAGAAAAAGUCCAGUUAACCCUGCCCAUCGCUCAAUGGCUCAAUCGCAUCGCUCUCCUGGCAACACCGUAAGGAGGAGCAACUUGCCAUUUGGAUAUAUCCUAGCUGUGUUUGUGCCCUCACUCAUGGUCCAGACUUUUUUCAAAUAGGACAUGUAGUUUGUCUGCAGCGACCGUUUUGGUAGAAACUGCGCCUCCCAUUCAUUAUAAUGGGAAAUGACCACAGACAAGUGCGCACACCAUCUUUGGACCUUGAGUGUGAUGCGAUCGGGAGGGGGAGGCGGUCGCGCUGGGGGCGGCGCGACGCGGCUCGGGCCCGACAGUGCCCCACCGGGGCCCUAGUUAUUAUUUUUCCUCCGCUUUAAACUGGAAAAUGGCCCACUUCCCACUGGCGAAAACUCAUGAAAAUUGGCAGGACGACCGGGCCUGGUGAAAAAUUCGAUAUUCUGAAGUCUCCCAAACAAUAAAAUGCAAAAUGGCUCAAUAGCGCCCCCAAAGGUGAAAAUUCACACUAUUGACUGUCACGCCUGUACGCUUUGUCAUAUUGACACAAAAAUUGACACACACAUGUAUCUCAAUAAGAUCUACAAAAAAGUCAGUGCGGGCGUAUCUGUCAAAUGUACGGUUAAAGGGUUAUUUCGCAUUUUUUGCCGUUCCGCACACAUUGGAAUUUCGCUAACUCCUCCGAAGGCUUUUGUUCCACCAGCACUACAUUUGCUCAGGCCAAUCUACACCCCAUGGCCAUUGAAAGUUGUACAAAUCAUGACGCUGCACCCCAUGGUUUACGUUCUAGGGGGCGCCAAAGAUAACCCACAAAUCCACAUUCUUAAAAAUCUUAUAACUUUUUAUUUUUGUCCUCAUUGGCCUCCAAGUUUUCUAGGAUGAUGCAAUGUCCAGCCAUCAACACAUUUGUGAAGGAAUUUUUACUCCCCAAAACAGCGCCCCCCCCAUGGCAGGACAAAAAAGGCCAUUUUUUCUUGUCCCCUAAGGUGAAAAUACACAUUGUUCAGUGUCACGCCUAUACGCUUUGUCAUAUUGACACAAAAUUUGACACACACGUGUAUCUCAAUAAGAUCUACGAAAAAGUCAAUGGGCACAUAUCUGUAAAAUGUACGGUUAAAGGGCUAUCUUGCAUUUUUUGCCGAUUCGCACACAUUGGAAUGUGGCUAACUCCUCCUAAGGCUUUCGUUCUACUGACACCAAAUUUGCUCAGGCCAAUCUACACCCCAUGGCCAUUCAAAGUUGUACAAAUCAUGACGCUGCACCCCACGGUCUAGGUUCUAGGGGGCGCCAAAGAUGACCCAAAUAUCCACAUUUUUAAAAGUCUUAUUAGGGCCCGAGCCAGCUGCAGAGCAGCCGGGCGUAGAGCCCUAUUAUUCCUGUAUGGGUUCUUCUUUCUUCUUUCUUUAGGGCCCGAGCGUAGCUGCUAAGCAGCUGCGAGAGCCCUCUUGUUCCUGAUGGAUUCUUCUUUUGUUAUUAUUAGGGCCCAAGCGUAGCUGCUAAGCAGCUGCGAGAGCCCUCUUGUUCCUGAUGGAUUCUUCUUUCGUUAUUUUUCCUCCGCUUUAAACUGGAAAAUGGCCCACUUCCCACUGGCGAAAACUCAGGAAAUUUGGCAGGACGACCGGGCCUGGUGAAAAAUUUGAUAUUCUGAAGUCGUCCAAACAAAAAAAUGAAAAAUGGCUCCAUAGCGCCCCCUAUGGUGAAAACUCACCUGAUGCCUGUACGCUUUGUCAAAAUGACACAAAAUUUGACACAUAUGUGUAUCUCAAUAAGAUCUACGAAAAAGUCAGUGCGGGCGUAUCUGUCAAAUGUAUGGUUAAAGGGCUAUUUCGCUUUUUAUGCCGAUCCGCACACAUUGGAAUUUCGCUAACUCCUCCGAAGGCUUUCGUUCCACCGGCACCACAUUUGCUCAGGCCAAUCUACACCCCAUGGCCAUUAAAAGUUGUACAAAUCAUGACGCUGCACCCCA